AGAGUUUGAUCCUGGCUCAGGACGAACGCUGGCGGCGUGCCUAAUACAUGCAAGUAGAACGCUGAAGAGAGGAGCUUGCUCUUCUUGGAUGAGUUGCGAACGGGUGAGUAACGCGUAGGUAACCUGCCUUGUAGCGGGGGAUAACUAUUGGAAACGAUAGCUAAUACCGCAUAACAAUGGAUGACCCAUGUCAUUUAUUUGAAAGGGGCAAAUGCUCCACUACAAGAUGGACCUGCGUUGUAAUAGCUAGUAGGUGAGGUAACGGCUCACCUAGGCGACGAUACAUAGCCGACCUGAGAGGGUGAUCGGCCACACUGGGACUGAGACACGGCCCAGACUCCUACGGGAGGCAGCAGUAGGGAAUCUUCGGCAAUGGGGGCAACCCUGACCGAGCAACGCCGCGUGAGUGAAGAAGGUUUUCGGAUCGUAAAGCUCUGUUGUAAGUCAAGAACGAGUGUGAGAGUGGAAAGUUCACACUGUGACGGUAGCUUACCAGAAAGGGACGGCUAACUACGUGCCAGCAGCCGCGGUAAUACGUAGGUCCCGAGCGUUGUCCGGAUUUAUUGGGCGUAAAGCGAGCGCAGGCGGUUUGAUAAGUCUGAAGUUAAAGGCUGUGGCUCAACCAUAGUUCGCUUUGGAAACUGUCAAACUUGAGUGCAGAAGGGGAGAGUGGAAUUCCAUGUGUAGCGGUGAAAUGCGUAGAUAUAUGGAGGAACACCAGUGGCGAAAGCGGCUCUCUGGUCUGUAACUGACGCUGAGGCUCGAAAGCGUGGGGAGCGAACAGGAUUAGAUACCCUGGUAGUCCACGCCGUAAACGAUGAGUGCUAGGUGUUGGAUCCUUUCCGGGAUUCAGUGCCGCAGCUAACGCAUUAAGCACUCCGCCUGGGGAGUACGACCGCAAGGUUGAAACUCAAAGGAAUUGACGGGGGCCCGCACAAGCGGUGGAGCAUGUGGUUUAAUUCGAAGCAACGCGAAGAACCUUACCAAGUCUUGACAUCCCUCUGACCGGAACUUAACCGCUCCUUUCCUUCGGGACAGAGGAGACAGGUGGUGCAUGGUUGUCGUCAGCUCGUGUCGUGAGAUGUUGGGUUAAGUCCCGCAACGAGCGCAACCCCUAUCCCCAGUAGCCAGCGGUUCGGCCGGGCACUCUGAGGAGACUGCCAGGGAUAACCUGGAGGAAGGCGGGGAUGACGUCAAAUCAUCAUGCCCCUUAUGAUUUGGGCUACACACGUGCUACAAUGGCGUAAACAAAGGGAAGCGAACCUGCGAGGGUGGGCAAAUCCCAAAAGUAACGUCCCAGUUCGGACUGUAGUCUGCAACCCGACUACACGAAGCUGGAAUCGCUAGUAAUCGCGGAUCAGAAUGCCGCGGUGAAUACGUUCCCGGGUCUUGUACACACCGCCCGUCACACCAUGGGAGUCAGUAACGCCCGAAGUCAGUGACCUAACCGCAAGGAAGGAGCUGCCGAAGGCGGGACCGAUGACUGGGGUGAAGUCGUAACAAGGUA
rnacentral:rRNA from 1 species